UGUGAAGGUCAUGCCCUAUGUGCGAGUUAACAUACAUCUUUCUAUGUCAGUUUUUAUUGUUCAGGUUUCAACAACACCUCACCUUCAGGACCUUGUUUGUCUGGUUUCUACUGCACUGGUGGCUCAGCCACACCUGUUCAGAACGAGGCAGAUGUUGGACACUAUACAUUGAAAGGGGCAGCCCGAUCAACGCCCUGUCCUCCUGGAACUUUUCAGCCACGUCGAGGUGCAGGGUCAUGCUUUGAGUGUCAAGGAGGCAGACUGUGCAACAAGACCGGCUUGUCGCAGCCACUACUGUGCCCCGUGGGACACUACUGUCCUCCAGACUCCUCUGCAGCUGUCCCUUGUCCUUCAGGGACGUAUGCAGAGCAGCCUGGUGGUGAGACGGUGCGGCACUGUCAGCCAUGCGAGGCGGGUUCAUUCUGCAAAAAAACGGGUCUGUCUGGACCUCAAGGUCUCUGUGACCCGGGACACUUCUGCACGUCUGGAGCCUUCACCGCCUCCCCAGUGAGUUCUUAUGAAUCUCUAUGAAGCUAAACAUAGAAAUCAGAUCACACCCUAUGACAGGUUGUUUUGGAGAUAAAACAAGGAAAAUAUCAAUAAAUAUC